GUGUUUGGCACCUCGAUGUCGGCUCAUCACAUCCUGGGGGCUGAAGUAGGUCCCAAGGGUAUGGCUGUUCGCCAUUUAAAGUGGUACGCGAGCUGGGUUUAGAACGUCGUGAGACAGUUCGGUCCCUAUCUGCCGUGGGCGCUGGAGAACUGAGGGGGGCUGCUCCUAGUACGAGAGGACCGGAGUGGACGCAUCACUGGUGUUCGGGUUGUCAUGCCAAUGGCACUGCCCGGUAGCUAAAUGCGGAAGAGAUAAGUGCUGAAAGCAUCUAAGCACGAAACUUGCCCCGAGAUGAGUUCUCCCUGAGACUUUAGGUCUCCUGAAGGAACGUUGAAGACGACGACGUUGAUAGGCCGGGUGUGUAAGCGCAGCGAUGCGUUGAGCUAACCGGUACUAAUGAACCGUGAGGCUUAACCUUAC
rnacentral:rRNA from 1 species